rnacentral:lncRNA from 1 species
AGAAAGGUUUGGAAAGUCGUUUAUCUAAGCAGGAGAAGUCAAGAUCGGGCUUGAAUAGCCAUGGCUGGUCGGAGCAAGGUCAGAGACAACUAUAGAACUCGAAUCAACAAAGUCUGGGCCAAGCUUCUUCAAGGUCUAACCUUGAAAUCAUAAUAACCAGGCAUGUAGGAUUCGUAGGAGAUCGGUCCAUGCCCUUAAUGGAUUUGGAAACCAUGGAUUCAGGCAGCUUUAGGGUGGAAGCGGAGGGGAGUGGCUAGGGUUUGAGAGGAGAUUGAGAGAGAAUUGGGAGAAAGGGGGGAAUUCAAGGGAGGC